rnacentral:rRNA from 1 species
GUGAGCGAUCAUUCCACCAAUAAUACAUUGGAUCCCAUUAGAACUUUGCAGUUAAGCAUGCUUGGUGAGAAUAGUACUAAGUUGGGCGACCACUUGGGAAGUCCUUGUGUUACACCCC